rnacentral:rRNA from 1 species
GUCCAUGCCGUAAACGAUGGGUGCUAGUUGUGGCGGGCUUUGACCCCUGCCGUGACGUAGCUAACGCAUUAAGCACCCCGCCUGGGAAGUACGGUCGCAAGACUAAAACUCAAAGGAAUUGACGGGGCCCGCACAAGCGGUGGAGCAUGUGGUUUAAUUCGACGCAACGCGAAGAACCUUACCUGGGCUAGAAAACGUAGAAACCUUGCUGAAAAAGUGGGGGUGCUCUUCGGAGAAUCUGCGGUUAGGUGCUGCAUGGCUGUCGU